UACAGAGGGUGCGAGCGUUAAUCGGAAUUACUGGGCGUAAAGCGUGCGUAGACGGUUAUUUAAGUCGGAUGUGAAAGCCCCGGGCUCAACCUGGGAAUUGCAUUCGAGACUGAAUAGCUAGGGUACGGUAGAGGGAAGCGGAAUUUCCGGUGUAGCGGUGAAAUGCGUAGAUAUCGGAAGGAACAUCAGUGGCGAAAGCGGCUUCCUGGACCAGUACCGACGUCAGGCACGAAAGCGUGGGGAGCAAACAGG
rnacentral:rRNA from 1 species